GUGUGUCUAAUUUUGUGUCAUUUCUUUAGAUCAUUCUAUUCUUCUGAAACUGAACGAGACUUCACUAUGGACUUUCUACUGGCCAUAGAAUUUUUUGAGGCCAUAUUAUAUCGCCCAUACUUUGAAAGUUCAGCAGAAUUCCUAGUGGGUUUCCCACACAGGCUACUCACAGAUCAGGAUCGUAAUGUUCUCAUGAGUAACUUCAGCAGACAGGAAAAAGCAUUUUUGACUGCAGUCAAACUCGUUCAAGAAAUAAAUAAAAGCACAGGAGGCUUAUUUUUAGCAAUUUGGAAGAAGCUCAUGACUUCAAAAUUUGCUCGGGCUGUGGCACGUUUCUUUGCUAAAAGGCUACUCUUAAUACCAAUUUAGUAGCCUAAAUUUAUGCUAUUACAUGUUGAUCAAUUUCAUUCUGUGAAUAAAAGCAAUCAAAUGUUAUAAUGAC